GAUGAACGCUGGGCGUGCCUAAUACAUGCCCGUCGAGCGAACAGACGAGGAGCUUGCUCCUCUGACGUUAGCGGCGGACGGGUGAGUAACACGUGGAUAACCUACCUAUAAGACUGGGAUAACUUCGGGAAACCGGAGCUAAUACCGGAUAAUAUAUUGAACCGCAUGGUUCAAUAGUGAAAGACGGUUUUGCUGUCACUUAUAGAUGGAUCCGCGCCGCAUUAGCUAGUUGGUAAGGUAACGGCUUGCCAAGGCAACGAUGCGUAGCCGACCUGAGAGGGUGAUCGGCCACACUGGAACUGAGACACGGUCCAGACUCCUACGGGAGGCAGCAGUAGGGAAUCUUCCGCAAUGGGCGAAAGCCUGACGGAGCAACGCCGCGUGAGUGAUGAAGGUCUUCGGAUCGUAAAACUCUGUUAUUAGGGAAGAACAAAUGUGUAAGUAACUAUGCACGUCUUGACGGUACCUAAUCAGAAAGCCACGGCUAACUACGU
rnacentral:rRNA from 1 species